GUAGAUUCUUGUUGUAGAGUACCUCCUAAUAUUAAAUUUAAAAUGGAAGAAAACUUGGACAUAUUUGCUGCAAAGAAGCAUAGAACUCAAGAAGUUCUUAAUAAGUGUAAGCUACAUAGCUCUUAUUAUCGGGAACAAGAAGACCAUAUGUAUAGACAUCUGGGUGAUAAUGCUGUUCAAGAGAUCAUCCCUCCUAGUUCUCAAGGAAAGCAUAUAGCUAUUGAGAAAAGUCGAAGAAAAUGAAUGGGAGCUAAACAUUUAAAAGAACAAAAAUGAAUUGGUUCUUACUUUAUGCCGAGAAUAAGACCUGGUAACCAAC
rnacentral:lncRNA from 1 species